CAGAGCCGCGGGAAUACAGAGGGUGCGAGCGUUAAUCGGAUUUACUGGGCGUAAAGCGUGCGUAGGCGGCUUCUUAAGUCGGAUGUGAAAUCCCUGAGCUUAACUUAGGAAUUGCAUUCGAUACUGGGAAGCUAGAGUAUGGGAGAGGAUGGUAGAAUUCCAGGUGUAGCGGUGAAAUGCGUAGAGAUCUGGAGGAAUACCGAUGGCGAAGGCAGCCAUCUGGCCUAAUACUGACGCUGAGGUACGAAAGCAUGGGGAGCAAACAGGAUUAGAUACCCCCGUAGUCCCUGUCUCUUAUACC
rnacentral:rRNA from 1 species